GGAGUGGUAGUUCAGUUGGUUAGAAUACCGGCCUGUCACGCCGGGGGUCGCGGGUUCGAGUCCCGUCCGCUCCG
rfam:Burkholderia sp. Leaf177 contig_10, whole genome shotgun sequence.